GAAGGGGCUAGCGUUGCUCGGAAUCACUGGGCGUAAAGGGUGCGUAGGCGGGUCUUUAAGUCAGGGGUGAAAUCCUGGAGCUCAACUCCAGAACUGCCUUUGAUACUGAAGAUCUUGAGUUCGGGAGAGGUGAGUGGAACUGCGAGUGUAGAGGUGAAAUUCGUAGAUAUUCGCAAGAACACCAGUGGCGAAGGCGGCUCACUGGCCCGAUACUGACGCUGAGGCACGAAAGCGUGGGGGAGCAAACAGGAUUAGAUACCCUGGUAGUCCACGCCGUAAACGAUGAAUGCCCAGCCGUUAGUGGGUUUACUCACUAGUGGCGCAGCUAACGCUUUAAGCAUUCCGCCUGGGAGUACGGUCGCAAGAUUA
rnacentral:rRNA from 1 species